UCAUGACCUGAGCCAGAAUCAAGCAUUGGAGUCUCAACUGACUGAGCCACCUAGGUGCCCCACAGCAUCUUUUGUUCUAAUGAGGUGACUCUUGGUGGCUCCUAGAGAGCUACAUUGGGUGGGGAAGGCUGGCUGCCAGAAAGACAAAGCCUUGAUUGGAAGCUUGGGAUUUUCACCCCACUGCCCAGCCUCCAGAGAAGGGAGAGGGACCGGAGACAGUUCAUCACAAAUGGCCAGUGAUUUAAUCAACCAUGCCUACCUACCUGACGAAACCUCCGUGAAGACCCUAAGUAACGGGAUUAGAGAGCUUGCGGACUGGUGAACAUGUCAGGGUGCCUGAGGGGAGUGCACUCAGAAAGGCCACGGCCCCUCUACCGCACCCUCCCCCUUCAACCUCGUCCUUAGGCACCUCAUCCAUGUGGCUGUUCCUGAGUUGCAUUCUUUAGAAUCAACCACUAACAAAACAGCCCAUUGGAGAUCCACAUGCCUGGAGAUGCGUGGAGAUGUAAGGGCUGCAGACAUGCAUCAUGGGAAAGAAUAGGUGAGGAGACCACCACUACCAGCUACCAAGACCUAUUAUAAAGGACCUUAAUUUCACGUCCAAGGGAAUCUAUAAAAGGAUUCAGAAGAUACCCCCAGAAGCUUGUCCACAGGUAAGCAUAAACCCCCCCACCCCAGCCAAGGAUGCAGACCACACCCACCCCCCUAAAUGUGAGUCCUUCCAGUCCCAGGGCUCCACUGAAUAACCCCACUUCAAGCAAAGGGCUAAAAGCAGUAUGACUAUGACCUAGGUAACACUAAGAAUUGCAAUGAAUUGCUAAUAAAUGGAGAAUUAAAGCCUAGACUACCA